rnacentral:tRNA from 1 species
GCCUUCGUGGUAUAAUGGCCAACACACUAGGCGCGUAUUCGAGAGGUCCGAGGUUCGAGUCCCGGUGAAGGCA